UCCAGACUCCUACGGGAGGCAGCAGUGGGGAUUAUUGCACAAUGGGGGAAACCCUGAUGCAGCAACGCCGCGUGAGCGAGGAAGUAUUUCGGUAUGUAAAGCUCUAUCAGCAGGGACGAAAAAAGACGGUACCUGACUAAGAAGCCCCGGCUAACUACGUGCCAGCAGCCGCGGUAAUACGUAGGGGGCAAGCGUUAUCCGGAUUUACUGGGUGUAAAGGGAGCGUAGACGGCAAGGCAAGCCAGAAGUGAAAGGGCAGGGCUCAACCCUGUACAUGCUUUUGGAACUGUGGUGCUAGAGUGCAGGAGAGGUAAGUGGAAUUCCUAGUGUAGCGGUGAAAUGCGUAGAUAUUAGGAGGAACACCAGUGGCGAAGGCGGCUUACUGGACUGUAACUGACGUUGAGGCUCGAAAGCGUGGGGAGCAAACAGGAUUAGAUACCCCCGUA
rnacentral:rRNA from 1 species